rnacentral:rRNA from 1 species
CCUGGCGGCACUAGCGCGCGGUGGUCCCACCUGACCCCAUGCCGAACUCAGAAGUGAAACGCCGUAGCGCCGAUGGUAGUGUGGGGUCUCCCCAUGUGAGAGUAGGGAACUGCCAGGC